CCUACGGGAGGCUGCCGUGAGGAAUAUUGGUCAAUGGGCUCGAGCCUGAACCAGCCAAGUCGCGUGAGGGAAGACGGUCCUAUGGAUUGUAAACCUCUUUUGUCGGGGAGCAAAAGACGCCACGCGUGGCGUUCCGAGAGUACCCGAAGAAAAAGCAUCGGCUAACUCCGUGCCAGCAGCCGCGGUAAUACGGAGGAUGCGAGCGUUAUCCGGAUUUAUUGGGUUUUAAGGGUGCGCAGGCGGAAGAUCAAGUCAGCGGUAAAAUUGAGAGGCUCAACCUCUUCGAGCCGUUGAAACUGGUUGUCUUGAGUGAGCGAGAAGUAUGCGGAAUGCGGGGUGUAGCGGUGAAAUGCAUAGAUAUCACGCAGAACUCCGAUUGCGAAGGCAGCAUACCGGCGCUCAACUGACGCUCAUGCACGAAAGUGUGGGUAUCGAACAGGAUUAGAUACCCCAGUAGUC
rnacentral:rRNA from 1 species